AUGAACGCUGGCGGCGUGCCUAAUACAUGCAAGUCGAGCGCACAGACGAGGAGCUUGCUCCUCUGACGUUAGCGGCGGACGGGUGAGUAACACGUGGAUAACCUACCUAUAAGACUGGGAUAACUUCGGGAAACCGGAGCUAAUACCGGAUAAUAUAUUGAACCGCAUGGUUCAAUAGUGAAAGACGGUUUUGCUGUCACUUAUAUAUGGAUCCGCGCCGCAUUAGCUAGUUGGUAAGGUAACGGCUUACCAAGGCAACGAUGCGUAGCCGACCUGAGAGGGUGAUCGGCCACACUGGAACUGAGACACGGUCCAGACUCCUACGGGAGGCAGCAGUAGGGAAUCUUCCGCAAUGGGCGAAAGCCUGACGGAGCAACGCCGCGUGAGUGAUGAAGGUCUUCGGAUCGUAAAACUCUGUUAUUAGGGAAGAACAAAUGUGUAAGUAACUAUGCACGUCUUGACGGUACCUAAUCAGAAAGCCACGGCUAACUACGUG
rnacentral:rRNA from 1 species